GACGAACGCUGGCGGCGUGCUUAACACAUGCAAGUCGAACGGAAAGGCCCUGCUUUUGUGGGGUGCUCGAGUGGCGAACGGGUGAGUAACACGUGAGUAACCUGCCCUUGACUUUGGGAUAACUUCAGGAAACUGGGGCUAAUACCGGAUAGGAGCUCCUGCUGCAUGGUGGGGGUUGGAAAGUUUCGGCGGUUGGGGAUGGACUCGCGGCUUAUCAGCUUGUUGGUGGGGUAGUGGCUUACCAAGGCUUUGACGGGUAGCCGGCCUGAGAGGGUGACCGGCCACAUUGGGACUGAGAUACGGCCCGGACUCCUACGGAAGGCAGCAGUGGGGAAUAUUGCACAAUGGGCGGAAGCCGGAUGCAGCAACGCCGCGUGCGGGAUGACGGCCUUCGGUUUGUAAACCGCUUUCGCCUGUGACGAAGCGUGAGUGACGGUAAUGGGUAAAGAAGCACCGGCUAACUACGUG
rnacentral:rRNA from 1 species